ACGACGACGACGUCGGUCUCGGCGUAAGUGAUCAUAUCAGUCAUGUACCUCCUCGUCAUCUCGCGAGACACGAUGGACUCCUUGAUGGGGUCAAAAGUGAAGGCGUUCAGAUCGUAGCCAGCGGUGGCGCGGACGGAGAGGGAGCGCGGUUUGAGACCGACGGAGACAGGUGCGGCGGAGGAGAUGGAUGAGCCAUGGAAAUAGGAGUCGAAAAGGCGCUGAGGCUUGGUGGAAGAGAGGGAGAGAGUAGAGGUGAUGGACGCCAUAUUUGAGAGGUGUGUUUAUGUUUUGAG
rnacentral:lncRNA from 1 species